CCCUCCAUCCUUCCUUCCUUCCCCUAUCCCUCCUCCCCCUUCUUCUUCAUUUGGGUGGAGGGUAUUGAGAUAAGAUCUCUCUAUGUAGACCAAGCUGGCCUGGAACUCACAGAGAUUCCCCUUGCCUCUAUCUCCUGAGCACUGGAAUUAAAGCUCAGCACACCCAGCAGAAACGAGGCUACUCCCCAAAUGUCCAACCUAAGCUCCAAGGCAGACUUAGCUGACAAAUGACCACAGUCUCCGCGCCAGACAGAGGUGACCAAUGGGCCAGGAGCAUGGUCAGAGACCAGGACUCAAUUUCUUCCUAAGGUGCCUCCCUUGACUGCUUGGAGCAUGUGUCAGUCUCUGGACCUGUCACUGUAGUCAAGGGUCCGGGAAAUCAUGUGUCCAUCUUUGUAUUCAUUCUGCUGGGUCAUCCAUGGUAGCCAAUGCAGCCGGAACUGACGUGAUGGCUCAUGCCCUGGAGCACAGUACUUGGGAUGCUCAGGCAGAAGGAUUUCCACAAGUCCAAGGUCAACUUGACUUCAGAGUGAGUUUCAAGCUAGUCUGGGGGGCUGCAGAAUAAGAACCCUGUUUUAAGAAACAAUGGCAUAAUGCUAAUUCCUGGAGGGAGUUUGUGGGUUUCUCCAACUGCAGGUUCGACUAAGAAUGCAUUGGAAGUAGAGUCAAGCCUAUAAGGACUACACCUGAAGUAACCGCCGACAGAGUUCUCUUCCUUGCCAGUACUCUCUAAGCAAUACAUAAGAUCUAGCAUUUUAUAUUGCUGCCUUUACAGUGGGCACAAAAUAACACAUCAUUUCUACUGCACUACACUGCGUGGGAUAGUAGACAGAUGUGGAGGUGACUGGAGGUAUCGUGAGCAAAUGCUGCAUCUUUGGAUUUUAGCAUCCAUGGGGAUCUGAAGCCAAUCCUCUAAGGAUCCCGAAGGAAGGUGGGGUUGUAGCUUACUAAGGAGACACAUGCCCCAGAAGAACCUCCUUUAGGUCUAAGCUGUGGUGCUGUGACCCAUGGAGAGUCCAAGGUUACUCAAUCAAUAAUAGCAAGUGUAUACAACAAUACACAUGUGUAUACUCACAUAUGUACUAUAGGUGGACAUACUAAAACAGGAACAGACAUACAAGGUUAUACACUGUAUGAUCUGUUGAGAAAAUGUGACCAUAGCACUACGGUAAGUGUUAAGAAGUGGAGAAGUGCCUGUCAGCUGAUGAGCAUAUGAAGGGAAGCUUGGGCCACAGUGCAGUGGAAUACUAUUCAGCCAGGAAAACUGCAAAAAUCCCGACUUUCAUGGCAGACACAGUGAGAUGGUCCCUGAUCUCACUCACAGGUGGAGUCAAAAGAGCUUGACCUCCUACAGCUGGCGGCGGAACCAUGCAACCAGAUGCUGAGGGUCGGGGGACGGGCAGGGAAGGUUGAUCAGUGAGCACUCAGUUAUGGAUUAUGGGUAGGCAGGAGUGAGCAGCUCCCGUGUGCAGUGACCAAGAGCACAGUGGGAUGGCGCAGCAGGUGACAGUGCCUGUCAUGGAAGCCUGAGGACCUGAGUUUGAUCCUCAUACGCCACAGUGGAAGGAGAGAACUAACUCCUGAGAAUUAUACUUUGAGCUGUAUGUGUGUGUGUGUUCACACAAUUUUUAAAAAGAUGGAUGUUUAGGGCUGUGGCUACAGUCUAACACGGUGGACUUGCAUGGCCCUGGUUUUGACCAUCAGAACUGCUGAAAGAAGAAAUUGAGAAGACUGAUCAACUUAAGACAAUUUAAAAGUCACACAAAGUACACACAUACUGAAUUAUGACACAGUACUCCAGUGAUACAUGCAAUUUUCGUUCUUCAAAGUACUUGUUAAAACAAUUGAAAAGAAAAGAAAGGAAAAGGAAAGGAAAGAAAAGAAAAGAGAAAAGAAAAGAAAAGAAAAGAAAAGAAAAGAAAAGGAAAGAAAAGAAAAGGUCAUAGACAUGCAGACAUCUGCAGGUGGCUUCAAGCAGAGGAGGGGAGGAUGCGAUUUCGCCUGUGAUAGUUACUCUGGCUACUGGCUGGGUUUGAUGGGAGAAGCUAAGACUGAAGGCGAGAGGAGAUCUUCAGAAGGGGGUUCUAGAUACUCCUGGGAGAUAAUGAGACCCGUGCCAGGAAUGACACCCAGGAGGAGGAAAUGGGGCAUGUGUGACAGAUGGGUAUGGUCAUCCCUCAGUGUGUGUGUGGGGACUGGCUUCAGGCCAGCUGAGGAUGCAAAGUCCACAGGUGCUCAAGGCCUGUGCCCAGUCCCUUGGGUACCUGACUUUACAUCACAUAGGAAUCCUGACACUGUGCAAGCAGCUCUUACUGUAGCAUCAUGGCAACAGCAAAGCUCACAUGUGUUCAGAACACUGACACUUCUUUCUGGAUAUUUUCAGUUUGUGAUUGGUUGAACUGCAUGUGGAGAACACAGGGUAUGGAGGACAAAUGGUAACAUUUAAAGUUGAUGAGAACAUGGGG